GCCAGACUCCUACGGGAGGCAGCAGUGAGGAAUAUUGGUCAAUGGGCUUACGCCUGAACCAGCCAAGUCGCGUGAGGGAAGACUGCCCUAUGGGUUGUAAACCUCUUUUGUCAGGGAGCAACGCCGGCUACGUGUAGCCGGACUGAGAGUACCUGAAGAAAAAGCAUCGGCUAACUCCGUGCCAGCAGCCGCGGUAAUACGGGGGGUGCAAGCGUUGUCCGGAAUCAUUGGGCGUAAAGCGUUCGUAGGCGGUAAAGUAAGUCAGAUGUUAAAGCCCGGGGCUCAACUCCGGUUCGGCAUUUGAUACUACUUGACUAGAAUGCGGUAGAGGUAAAGGGAAUUCCUGGUGUAGCGGUGAAAUGCGUAGAUAUCAGGAGGAACAUCGGUGGCGAAAGCGCUUUACUGGGCCGUUAUUGACGCUGAGGAACGAAAGCCAGGGUAGCAAACGGGAUUAGAUACCCGUGUAU
rnacentral:rRNA from 1 species